AAUAAACUUCAGGGUCGGGUGUAAAUCCCAACCGGCGGUGAGACAUGCAUGACAUGGUAAGCCCGCGACCUGCGAAAGCAGUUGAUCUGGUCAAAAUCCGGAGCCGACCGUAAAGUCGGGUAUAAAGAAGUUAAAA
rfam:Leuconostoc gelidum JB7, complete genome.